rnacentral:rRNA from 1 species
AUUGAACGCUGGCGGCAGGCCUAACACAUGCAAGUCGAACGGCAGCACGAGAGAGCUUGCUCUCUUGGUGGCGAGUGGCGGACGGGUGAGGAAUGCAUCGGAAUCUGCCCAUUUGUGGGGGAUAACCUCGGGAAACCGGGACUAAUACCGCAUACGACCUUCGGGUGAAAGCAGGGGAUCUUCGGACCUUGCGCAGAUGGAUGAGCCGAUGCCGGAUUAGCUAGUUGGCGGGGUAAAGGCCCACCAAGGCGACGAUCCGUAGCUGGUCUGAGAGGAUGAUCAGCCACACUGGGACUGAGACACGGCCCAGACUCCUACGGGAGGCAGCAGUGGGGAAUAUUGGACAAUGGGCGAAAGCCUGAUCCAGCCAUGCCGCGUGGGUGAAGAAGGCCUUCGGGUUGUAAAGCCCUUUUGUUGGGAAAGAAAACUUUCCGGUUAAUACCCGGAGAGAAUGACGGUACCCAAAGAAUAAGCACCGGCUAACUUCGUGCCAGCAGCCGCUGUAA